UACGUAGGGUGCGAGCGUUGUCCGGAAUUAUUGGGCGUAAAGAGCUCGUAGGCGGUCUGUCGCGUCGGUCGUGAAAACUUGGGGCUUAACCCUGAGCUUGCGGUCGAUACGGGCAUGACUGGAGUUCGGCAGGGGAGACUGGAAUUCCUGGUGUAGCGGUGAAUGCGCAGAUAUCAGGAGGAACACCGGUGGCGAAGGCGGGUCUCUGGGGCCGAUACUGACGCUGAGGAGCGAAAAGCGUGGGGAGCGAACAGG
rnacentral:rRNA from 1 species